GGGGACCAUGGUGCUGCGGAAGCCUCCUCCGCGGGCGUGAAGGCGGCGCUUCCACUCCCUCCCCGGGCUUCGAGGUGCACUAACCAGCUGCUGCUGGAAGAGGCAUUUGGAGAUGGAUAACCCAACACCUUUGCUCUUCUCAUCCCUUCUUUGCACAAGCAGGGAAAGGAUGAGUCUGCUCUGGGAUCCUCUCCUGAGAUGGGCCUAGGCUGGGCUGCCUGUCCCUAGGCAAGAACAAAGAUCAUUUUAGGGGCAGGUGACUUAACAUCUCUGAGCCGCAAAUUCUUCCUUUGCAAAAGAGACAUACCUACAUCAGAGCACUGUCAUGAGAAGCCCAGUGAGGAAUUAUGGCAAAGACUGAAUGCUGUAUUGGCACGAAGGAAAUGUUGGAGAAACGGCAGCUAUUACUGUCAUCAUUGUGGCUGGCAGAUCCCCCUACUCCUACCUGAGGCUUAGGGCAGUAUUGUUAAGACUAAUUUAGUUCCCAGAAAAGAUGUGUUAAUUGGAUUAUUACAUUUUUCCUGUGUUUACACUAUAUGUACAUGCAUGACUUUGAAAUCUACACAGUUAUAUACUUAUCCAUUGAAUUCUCUCUUUUAAAAAUGUGUAAGAAUUGCAUUUUUGAGUCAUUGAACUAUAAUGAAAUUGUUUUUUCACAGAAAGAAUGUUACAAGUAAUCAUCAUAUAGGCCACCAAAAUGGAGAAUAAUGUAGAAAUGGAAGUUAAGAGAAAACCAAAAGAGAGACCUAAUGUUAAUACGUGGCCAGAAUGCAUAUUUUUAUAGCCUGAUUAUUUAAAAAUACUGGCGUUUGCUUGUACUGUUUAGGGUUGGAUGAUACAAAUGAAGCUGUUUGGGAUUGGAAUAAAUAUUUUUUUGACUAAUGCUAUAACUUGUAGACUUGUAAUCAGGAGUGGCUUAUCAGCAGCUUUUCAAAAUGUGACAUUGUACAUGGAAUGCCCCCAUGGAGGAAAUUGAACGCUCUGUUAAUGCUUUUACAGUUGAAUUCCACACACAUGAAUUAUGACAAGUGAG
rnacentral:lncRNA from 1 species